AAGACACAGAGGGAAGAUGGCCAUGGAAAAGCUAGAGAGAGAGAGUUCUCAGAAGAAGUAACUCUGCCAACACCUUGAUCUCAGAUUUCUAGCCUCCAAAGGUUAUACCAUGCAGUUUCUCAAAACUAUUUCAAGGACAUGUUGGAAGGAACUGGAGGUUGCAGUUGACUCUGUUGUAGCCUUGCCAGCAUACGUUUUCUGGACUGAAAGCACCUGUCUCUCACUUUCUCUCUUGCAAUACAGCACUUCUCCUGAGGCAGGGGGCCAAGAAGC
rnacentral:lncRNA from 10 species